rnacentral:rRNA from 1 species
CCCUCAGUAACGGCGAGUGAAGAGGGAAGAGCCCAGCACCGAAGCCUGUGGCCGUUUGGCCCCUAGGCAAUGUGGUGUUCAGGUUAGCUCGCGGGGAUGCUGCUCCACCCUAAGUCCUAAAAUGAGUAAGGUUACUCGGACGUGGCCCAUUGAGGGUGAAAGGCCCGUGGGGGUGGAGAGUCAGACUGGCCAGUAUCUCCCUGAGCAGACCUUGGAGUCGGGUUGUUUGUGAAUGCAGCCCAAAGUGGGUGGUAAACUCCAUCCAAGGCUAAAUACUAGCACGAGUCCGAUAGCGAACAAGUACCGUGAGGGAAAGUUGAAAAGUACUUUGAAGAGAGAGUAAACAGUGCGUGAAGCCGUUCAGAGGUAAACGGGUGGAGUUGAACUGCAAGCUCUGAGGAUUCAACUGGUGAGAAUGGCGUGAGCUUGGUCACGUGGGCUGUACUGCUGUGUCUGCUUAGCUGCAGGUCCUCGCCUUGGUGGGGAUGCGCGUCUAGCUUAUCAAGCUUUGCGCGCACGGUGUUAAACGAGCCCGCUCGCCAGUGCACUUUCUCAGAGUGUUCACCACGACCGGCGUUGCUGUCUGGCUGAUGGGGUUAAACCGGUCUUGUAGGGUCCUUGUGGCCUUGCUUGGUCGGGAUGGCAGGUAGCCCGUUGUGUAUUUAUAUGCUUCGGGUGUAAUAGCCGACUUCAUCGGUUCUGUGCGGUACGUCGGAGACGGCGGCUUGUUGUGCGUGCGGGCGUGCCUGUGUGCUGGCGGCUCUGGGUCUGGUUGCCUUGUUGCUUGCGAAUGCAGGCCAGGUGAUGGCUCGGGGUCGUUUGGUGUGCGGUUGCGUUCGUGGCACUUUAAAGGGCCAACAGUCUGUGGUGUAGUGGUAGACUAUCCACCCGACCCGUCUUGAAACACGGACCAAGGAGAGUAACAUGUGCGCGAGUCAUUGGGCGUUACGAAACCCAAAGGCGUAGUGAAAGUAAAGGUUCGGCUUGUCUGGACUGAGGUGAGAUCCUGUCGUUUCUCACGCAUGGUACUACCAAGCAUUGAGCGGCGGGCGCAUCACCGGCCCGUCCCAUGACGUAGUGGUGGCUUCGGCUUGCCCAUCGUCGGGGCGGAGCAUGAGCGUACAUGUUGAGACCCGAAAGAUGGUGAACUAUGCUUGCGCAGGUUGAAGCCAGAGGAAACUCUGGUGGAGGACCGCAGCGAUUCUGACGUGCAAAUCGAUCGUCAAACGUGAGUAUAGGGGCGAAAGACUAAU